GGGUGAAUAGCUCAGCUGGUUCAGAGCAUCUGCCUUACAAGCAGAGGGUCCGGGGUUCGAAUCCCUGUUCACCCA
rnacentral:tRNA from 1 species